UGGGCGUUAAGUUGCAGGGUAUAGACCCGAAACCCGGUGAUCUAGCCAUGGGCAGGUUGAAGGUUGGGUAACACUAACUGGAGGACCGAACCGACUAAUGUUGAAAAAUUAGCGGAUGACCUGUGGCUGGGGGUGAAAGGCCAAUCAAACCGGGAGAUAGCUGGUUCUCCCCGAAAGCUAUUUAGGUAGCGCCUCGUGAAUUCAUCUCCGGGGGUAGAGCACUGUUUCGGCUAGGGGGCCAUCCCGGCUUACCAACCCGAUGCAAACUGCGAAUACCGGAGAAUGUUAUCACGGGAGACACACGGCGGGUGCUAACGUCCGUCGUGAAGAGGGAAACAACCCAGACCGCCAGCUAAGGUCCCAAAGUCAUGGUUAAGUGGGAAACGAUGUGGGAAGGCCCAGACAGCCAGGAUGUUGGCUUAGAAGCAGCCAUCAUUUAAAGAAAGCGUAAUAGCUCACUGGUCGAGUCGGCCUGCGCGGAAGAUGUAACGGGGCUAAACCAUGCACCGAAGCUGCGGCAGCGACGCUUAUGCGUUGUUGGGUAGGGGAGCGUUCUGUAAGCCUGUGAAGGUGUGUCGUGAGGCAUGCUGGAGGUAUCAGAAGUGCGAAUGCUGACAUAAGUAACGAUAAAGCGGGUGAAAAGCCCGCUCGCCGGAAGACCAAGGGUUCCUGUCCAACGUUAAUCGGGGCAGGGUGAGUCGACCCCUAAGGCGAGGCCGAAAGGCGUAGUCGAUGGGAAACGGGUUAAUAUUCCCGUACUUGGUGUUACUGCGAAGGGGGGACGGAGAAGGCUAUGUUGGCCGGGCGACGGUUGUCCCGGUUUAAGCGUGUAGGUGUGUGUUCCAGGUAAAUCCGGUUCACUUUAACACUGAGGCGUGAUGACGAGGCACUACGGUGCUGAAGUAACAAAUGCCCUGCUUCCAGGAAAAGCCUCUAAGCAUCAGGUAACAUCAAAUCGUACCCCAAACCGACACAGGUGGUCAGGUAGAGAAUACCAAGGCGCUUGAGAGAACUCGGGUGAAGGAACUAGGCAAAAUGGUGCCGUAACUUCGGGAGAAGGCACGCUGACACGUAGGUGAAGUGAUUUACUCAUGGAGCUGAAGUCAGUCGAAGAUACCAGCUGGCUGCAACUGUUUAUUAAAAACACAGCACUGUGCAAACACGAAAGUGGACGUAUACGGUGUGACGCCUGCCCGGUGCCGGAAGGUUAAUUGAUGGGGUCAGCGCAAGCGAAGCUCCUGAUCGAAGCCCCGGUAAACGGCGGCCGUAACUAUAACGGUCCUAAGGUAGCGAAAUUCCUUGUCGGGUAAGUUCCGACCUGCACGAAUGGCGUAAUGAUGGCCAGGCUGUCUCCACCCGAGACUCAGUGAAAUUGAACUCGCUGUGAAGAUGCAGUGUACCCGCGGCAAGACGGAAAGACCCCGUGAACCUUUACUAUAGCUUGACACUGAACAUUGAGCCUUGAUGUGUAGGAUAGGUGGGAGGCUUUGAAGUGUGGACGCCAGUCUGCAUGGAGCCGACCUUGAAAUACCACCCUUUAAUGUUUGAUGUUCUAACGUGGACCCGUUACCCGGGUUGCGGACAGUGUCUGGUGGGUAGUUUGACUGGGGCGGUCUCCUCCUAAAGAGUAACGGAGGAGCACGAAGGUUGGCUAAUCCUGGUCGGACAUCAGGAGGUUAGUGCAAUGGCAUAAGCCAGCUUGACUGCGAGCGUGACGGCGCGAGCAGGUGCGAAAGCAGGUCAUAGUGAUCCGGUGGUUCUGAAUGGAAGGGCCAUCGCUCAACGGAUAAAAGGUACUCCGGGGAUAACAGGCUGAUACCGCCCAAGAGUUCAUAUCGACGGCGGUGUUUGGCACCUCGAUGUCGGCUCAUCACAUCCUGGGGCUGAAGUAGGUCCCAAGGGUAUGGCUGUUCGCCAUUUAAAGUGGUACGCGAGCUGGGUUUAGAACGUCGUGAGACAGUUCGGUCCCUAUCUGCCGUGGGCGCUGGAGAACUGAGGGGGGCUGCUCCUAGUACGAGAGGACCGGAGUGGACGCAUCACUGGUGUUCGGGUUGUCAUGCCAAUGGCACUGCCCGGUAGCUAAAUGCGGAAGAGAUAAGUGCUGAAAGCAUCUAAGCACGAAACUUGCCCCGAGAUGAGUUCUCCCUGAGACUUAAAGUCUCCUGAAGGAACGUUGAAGACGACGACGUUGAUAGGCCGGGUGUGUAAGCGCAGCGAUGCGUUGAGCUAACCGGUACUAAUGAACCGUGAGGCUUAACCCUACAACGCCGAAG
rnacentral:rRNA from 1 species